GAAUUUUUGAAAGUCUCUUGUAAAGAAAAUUGCCAAUUUGGUUCAGCAUAGUGAUAUGAGCUGCCCUGUAGUAAGCCAGCACACCCACUCUGGGGAUGUGACUGUAUAUACACACUAAUUUGUAUGUAAAGUUACGGCCAUUUGUGAAAAUGCAUAUUUUUAGACUUUUUACUGUUAGCACCACUUACUAAAGUGGCAGUACAGAAGCCUCAAAUUUUGUUUCAAAAUGCAGGUAUAAGACUAAGGAUAUUUUCUACCUUUCCCUAAAUUGGCAUAGCAUUUCUAGGAGACAGGCUAGAUUAAUAAGGUAAGCUUGAUGAUGGGAAAAUGGGAGUGGAGAGAGACAGAUAACAACUAAGGAGGUAGACUGUAUUUCUGAGAGAGAGAUCUGGAAUUAAAAUUUUCAUUUUUUAAUGUCUACCCAUUGACACCUAACAAGUACUUCCACUCUCAAUAAUGUUAUAAAAAAAUGUAAAAUGCCUAUAUUUAUCUAAAAAACAGAUUUUCAACUUUGUUUCCUUUUAUGGAUUUUGAAGGCCAAUUUGUAGAACUUAUGUUUCAGGUUUAAUUAAUCAAUUUCAUUACAGGAUUAUUAUUUUUGAUUCUUGGUUUAUUAUAAUAGUUCACUGUGCAAUCAGAUUCACAUAUGAGUGGUUUUAUCAGGAAAAUUAGUUUGGGCUUUAUUUUUAUUAAAAACCAAUUCAUUAGAAAAUGUUUGCUUUACUCCUCUAUUUAGACAUUUUGGGAAAACCAAAUAUAGUUAUUGUCUAAGAUGCCAUAAAUGUUUGCAACUGUAAUCUCUGAAAUGUUUCCAUUGUACACAAUGACCUGAUUAAAAAGUAAUGGUGGAAUAAAAUGACACCCAGAAUAAUAAUCUGUUGCUGCUAGAUAAAGCCAUUUAAAAAAAGAAGCCAAACAAACAAAACUUUGCUACUGUGACAAUGUCUUAUUACAGUUCCUUUAUUUUAUACCAAAGGGUUGAUAUAUAUUUGAUCAUUGUCUAAUGGAUAUUGGUGUGGGAG
rnacentral:lncRNA from 1 species